rnacentral:rRNA from 1 species
GACGUAGGGGUCUAGCGUUGUCCGGAAUUAUUGGGCGUAAAGAGCUCGUAGGCGGUUCGGCAAGUCGGAUGUGAAAUCUCCACGCUUAACGUGGAGGGGCCAUUCGAAACUGCCGUGACUCGAGUCCGGUAGGGGAGUGCGGAAUUCCCGGUGUAGCGGUGAAAUGCAUUGAGAUCGGAAAGAACACCAACGGCGAAAGCACUCUGCUGGGCCGACACUGACACUGAGAGACGAAAGCUAGGGGAGCAAAUGGG